UUGAACGGUAACAGAGGAGUUUUCGUUAGCCUUUUUUUUCUUAAAAUUCUUAUUCGGAUAUAUGAAAUGCUUAUAAUAGUGCUAUUUAUUGAAGAGUGACAUUGAAAAAAAAUUCUCGGAAAAAGUAUGAUCUUAAAAUGUAGAUCAGUAUGUCUUUACGCAAGUGCAUUCACAUUUCUAUUAUUGAUUGAUUAUUCAACAGGAAUCCCUCCAGAGAGUUUUUUUUUAAUAAAAGAUUAAAGCAUUUAACUUUUUCUGGGAUUGUGGAGUUGCAGUGAGUUGCAUCUUAUUUAUAAUUUUAUUUCUAAUUGAACAGUGAAUUCUUUCAAAGGAUAUUCUUGGUCAUGACGAGAUUGACUCGAAUCAAAUGGAUUUUUGGAUUCGAUCGAAAAGAGGAGUUGCAUUGCUGAUUUAACAGAAACAUUGAUAACCGCUUAGAUCGUAUUUCCGCACUAGCUAUAUCCGUAUUGUAUUAUCAGUGAGAUCAGUGGCCUUGGAUGCGUCAUUUAUGUCAGUCCAAACGUCUUUUAGGAUAACAAUAGUGUGUAGAUAGUUCUGAAAAGAAUUAGUUUCUUAGUUCUCAUUCACAUAUCAAUUUCAUCGGGGAAAAAUACCUGAGAAGAGGUUCUGUACUGAUUAUCUCGAAUAUACUUCAUUUCAAAAUAUUUCUUCAUCCAAAACCCGCAAAAAUGUCCUGGAUAAUCAGUUUCAGUACGGAAAUCAAGCAUUCAACGUAUGCUAAAUGCAGUUCGCACCGUUUCGAAAGGUGAACUUUAUCAUCAAUUAUCAAAAAAAAAUUUAAUAAAUCCUGCAACCAUGCGCACACUAACUACUUUUGAUUACAUCCCCCCACCCAUUUCUCACUACGUCAUCCAUUUCCAUCGUUUUUCCCUUGAAUUACAAUUAAUCUCUGUCAGAAUGACAGAACUUUUCUUUGUCUCGAAGAUAACGUGGAAGUGAUGAGAUAUGAUCAAGAGACAAGUGAAUACUGCGGUUGGGUGUGUCCUCAGUAUGUUUUGGAGUUCAAGGAUACAAAAGAAACUUUUGGGGACUCAAUUGUCGUGCUGAAAGGACGAUGAAAAAAAUUUGCAUAAUUUUCUCCUGACAUUUCGUUCUCUCCAAUGAAUUUUCAGAUUCUCAAGCCCUAAAGUUGGGAUUAUAAAAACGAAAGUGUUCCCCAAAACGUAGAUUUACUUUGAUUUUUCCAGGCGGAAGUUCAUCAUUUAUUGCAUUUCAAGGACUGCAUAUCAGCUCAAGAUUUUUUUAUUUAAAAUUUUCAGUGAAAACAGUGGCAAGAAUUAUGGAAUUGAUAACGCGGCUGACCAAAUAGCUGCUGUUACAUAAUUGUUAUUGAGAUAUUUAAAUACAUUGGAAAUCCUCUGGUGUUAUGCAGUGAGUUAUCAUAUAAUGAAACCAUUCACGCAGCGAAUGUGAUAAGCGCUGAUAAAAAUCACACAAUUGUGAAGAGGGUGUAACACCGGGCCAUAUUAAUAGGUUCCAUCGAUCGAACAGUCUUGGUUGCCAACAGGAAAUAGAACGUUCAUUCUUCCUUCAGAUCAAAAGCUUCUAUUUAUUUUUCACAGCUCAUUUCAAUGGCAGUUCUGAUGUAAACUUUUAUUGAUUUUUACUGUUCGGAGAGAAAACCAUCCAGUGGGAAUAGAAGAUUGAUUAAAAAAUCCUGCAAUAUUUUCUGAUAUUUUAAUGUCAAGAAUCAUUCUGGCAUUAAUAACAUUAAAAUUUAGACUUAUCAAGUGGUGAUUGAAGAACUGUUGGGAAUAACUACCCCAUUGAGGACCAUUAUCUGUGCGUUAGAUUGAAAUAUUCAAGAGACAAUCAAAGGUAUUGUUUCAUUUUCCAUAUUUUUUUAAAGAUGACAUAUGUAUAUAUAUCUAUAUAUCUUACGUAAUGUAAAUAUCUACAUAUAAUGAUUCUGGUGUGUCCAGAAUCACAAUCAGGACUAGACUGAAUAAUUCAAGCAACGAAAUCAAUGCUGCUACCGUUAUAAAUAUUGAUUAUUUCUCAUAGAAUGAAUUAAACAAUAAAUAAAAUAACUGAAAAAAAUACAGUUCAAACUGCUGCACUUACUCGCCAUUUUCGUCCUCUUCAAGUAGUAAACUCAUCGUUUAUCUUCCUUUCUGCUAAAUCGAACAGCUGAGUCCUGUGAGAUUUUGGUCAAGGCCACCUGCACCCUUCAAAUUAGUAUCUAUUAUUGUUGAAUAUUCUAUAAUCUCUUAUGCGCACAACGAACGAGGGCUGAUUGAUAGCGUUGAUGAACGAAUCUUUAGCUUAAAUAUGUUGGAAUGUUGAUUAUGUACAACAAAAAGGCCCCUUGAACGGAGAGGUGAAACCACAAUAAGCUGGAGAGACGAAAAACACCUAGCUGUGUACGACAAUCAUCGGUGGGCGCGUUGCGCUUGCGCUGAAUCGUCGUGCCGCCUCUACCGCUUCGCCGCCAUUGCGCCGGUAAAGAUUCUUAACUACCCCUCGGUGCUCGUCCAAGGGGUGGAAAGUAGAUCAACCGUCCUGCGAGGACUUCUUUCAAUAUUCCGCCCGCCACCCUCGUUCAUGACAUUUGAAACCGAAUGGGCGUGAACGCCCGUCACUAGAUUAAUUGACCCUGGAUUGGUCGCCCCAUGAGAUAAAUACUGUGGUGUGUGCUUUUUAUUAAAUUGAUGCCAAUCAACUGAUGGGAAACAUUUUAGAAAAUUGAGUUUUGCAAUUGGAGAGUCUUAAGACUUAUGUUACCUUCGGAAGAAUCUAAUGUCCUAAAUUAUUAAAAAAAUUAUUUCUUGAAGGACAAUUAUUUCUUUUAUGGUGAUGACAAUGUCUAAGAUGCGAGAUGUCCGGAAAAUGGCCAAGCGAGUUCCCAAGGGGAUGGACCGGAUGGACUCAGUGGAGGGUCAGUCCUGAGGGUUUGAUUGAGGCCACCAGCAUUUUAGUACCUCACCCCAGAAGAAGGAGGGUGCGGCAUGCAAAUCCUGGGGUGUCUGACAGUCAGUGACCUCUGUGUGCCACAGGAUGAACCCUCAUCCUGUGUAUAUGAAUCUCUGGUGCCACCAGCCGCCAGAAUCGGCAGUCGUGCCUCUCACCGCCGGGGUCAUUACUAACAUCGGCAUGAGUUCUUUAUUAGUCUAUUCUCUUUGCCACAAAAGUUAGGAAGUACCUAGGGCCGCCCCUAGGGUUCACGGCGCUUUUUACCACCUUACAAAAUGGCCGACACGCCAGCUCGAACUAGUAAGAGGGUUCUGUCUGUGGCGUACAGAGGUCAAAGUUGACCAUAGAAAAAAUUAUAUAAAAAGGCAAACUCAAGCGCAGGAUUAAAAUUUUCUUCUUUUGACACCACUCACCUCCAAGAAAAAUUAAUUCAAAUAACUUAAUCGCUGAUUGUUGUUUCUAUUCUAAAUAUAAAAUAUAGAGGAGGUUAAACAUGCUGCUUAUUCGGGAACUCCUUAUCAGAAACUGCGUUUAUUUAAUUUUUUGCUUUUUUUCUUCUCUUUUUUUUACCAUUAAUGUGUAGUAUUUAUUAUAAAUAAGUUAGAAACAUUGAUUUUCCUUGGGCCACACACAGAAUGAAUACCCAACAUAUGAUGUUUCUCAGAAAAAAAGUAUGCUUUUUUGUUAUUAAUUUUUUUCAUGUUUUUUUUUUCUUUUUCAUUUAUGUUUGACAAGAAAUGAUUUACAAAUGAACUACAGCCACAAAUUUGUAUUAUUUUUUCUCUUUUUCCAUCUGUCGUCAUGUUUCCUUUUAUUUCCGUGCUUUCUUUUUAUCAUGAAAA